UGCCAGCAGCCGCGGUAAUACGGGGGGGACUAACGUUGUUCGGAUUUACUGGGCUUAAAGAGUACGUAGGCGGCAUGACAAGUGUUAGGUGAAAUCCCACGGCUCACCCGUGGAACUGCCUAGCAAACUGUCAAGCUAGAGUGUGGUAGGGGAGAACAGAACUCAUGGUGGAGCGGUGAAAUGCGUAGAUAUCAUGAGGAAUACCGGUGGCGAAGGCGGUUCUCUGGUCCACAACUGACGCUGAGGUACGAAAGCUAGGGUAGCGAACGGGAUUAGAUA
rnacentral:rRNA from 1 species